CCUACGGGAGGCAGCAGUGGGGAAUCUUGCACAAUGGGCGAAAGCCUGAUGCAGCAACGCCGCGUGCGGGAAGAAGGCCCUAGGGUUGUAAACCGCUUUCAGUAGGGAAGAAAAUGACGGUACCUACAGAAGAAGGUGCGGCCAACUACGUGCCAGCAGCCGCGGUGACACGUAGGCACCAAGCGUUAUCCGGAUUUAUUGGGCGUAAAGAGCUCGUAGGCGGUUCGGUAAGUCGGGUGUGAAAACUCUGGGCUCAACCCAGAGAGGCCACCCGAUACUGCUGUGACUAGAGUGCGGUAGGGGAGCGGGGAAUUCCUGGUGUAGCGGUGAAAUGCGCAGAUAUCAGGAGGAACACCAGCGGCGAAGGCGCCGCUCUGGGCCGUAACUGACGCUGAGGAGCGAAAGCAUGGGUAGCAAACAGGAUUAGAUACCCUGGUAGUCCAUGCCGUAAACGUUGGGCACUAGGUGUGGGUCUCAACCAACGAGAUCGCGCCGUCGCUACGCAUAGUGCCCGCCCGUCGGGGAGGUACGGUCGGCGAAGAACGUAAACUACAAAUAGUAAGUUAGUACGGCGUUGAGACGUUGCCGACGGCGACGACGAGGGAGGAGG
rnacentral:rRNA from 1 species